GUGGACGACAAAAGCCCCGGACAUUACCUGGGGAUACAAAGCUGGAAUAAGAGGAAUGACCACUUCGUCUGACAGACCUGUUGCUGCACACAUCUGUACCCUUCGGUCAACAGAACCCGAUGCAAAGAACAGAAAAGGGAGAGAUGUGGGAGUUCAGACAGGCUGGUGGCGUGUCCAGAAUUUAUUCCUUCCGGCCUAUAUCACCCAAACCUGAAAAGGGAAAGAAGGAUGUGAAGAAAAUAAUAUAGGAGGAAGAAGAAUGAAGAAACAGCGGGCAAGAAAAAGAAGAAGACUAGAAAGAGAAGAUGAAGCAGGAUAAAGUGGAGGAGAAAUAGCUUUACUGAAUGGAAGUAUGUCUGUUACUUCUGCUCUUCCAACAACAACAACAACAACAAAAAGCCCAAGGAUGCUGCUAAAUAUCUUAAAAGGUACAAGCAAAUAGUUAUGAUAGUUUUA
rnacentral:lncRNA from 10 species